rnacentral:rRNA from 1 species
UACGUAGGGACCAAGCGUUGUUCGGAUUUACUGGGCGUAAAGGGCGCGUAGGCGGCAAUUCAAGUCAGUUGUGAAAUCUCCGAGCUUAACUCGGAACGGUCAACUGAUACUGUUUGCUAGAGUACAGAAGGGGCAAUCGGAAUUCUUGGUGUAGCGGUGAAAUGCGUAGAUAUCAAGAGGAACACCUGAGGUGAAGACGGGUUGCUGGGCUGAUACUGACGCUGAGGCGCGAAAGCUAGGGUAGCAAACGGG